rnacentral:rRNA from 1 species
GAUGAACGCUGACAGAAUGCUUAACACAUGCAAGUCAACUGUGGCGGACGGGGGAGUAACGCGUAGAGAACUUGCCUCACGGAUAGGGACAACAUUUGGAAACGAAUGCUAAUACCUGAAACUGUGAGAGAGCUUUGCGUCCCAUUAGCUAGUUGGAGAGGUAACGGCUCACCAAGGCGAGGAUGGGUAGCCGCCCUGAGAGGGUGACCGGCCACAAGGGGACUGAGAAACGGCCAUUAGUGAUUAGUGCGGAAGCAGUGGGGACUUGUGGCAAACGGACCAAAGUAUGAUCCAGCAAUUCUGGGUGCACGAUAAAUUUUUCGGAAUGUAAAGGUCUUUCAGUAGGGAAGCGGUACCAACAGAAGAAGCGACGGCUAACUCCGUGCCAGCAGCCGCGGUAAUAC